rnacentral:rRNA from 1 species
UGGGGAAUAUUGCACAAUGGGCGCAAGCCUGAUGCAGCCAUGCCGCGUGUGUGAAGAAGGCCUUCGGGUUGUAAAGCACUUUCAGCGGGGAGGAAGGCGUUAAGGUUAAUAACCUUGGCGAUUGACGUUACCCGCAGAAGAAGCACCGGCUAACUCCGUGCCAGCAGCCGCGGUAAUACGGAGGGUGCAAGCGUUAAUCGGAAUUACUGGGCGUAAAGCGCACGCAGGCGGUCUGUCAAGUCGGAUGUGAAAUCCCCGGGCUCAACCUGGGAACUGCAUUCGAAACUGGCAGGCUAGAGUCUUGUAGAGGGGGGUAGAAUUCCAGGUGUAGCGGUGAACUGCGUAGAGAUCUGGAGGAAUACCGGUGGCGAAGGCGGCCCCCUGGACAAAGACUGACGCUCAGGUGCGAAAGCGUGGGGAGCAAACAGG